rnacentral:rRNA from 1 species
UAGAGUUUGAUCCUGGCUCAGGAUGAACGCUGGCGGCGUGCUUAACACAUGCAAGUCGAACGGAGUUAUCAUUUUUGAAGCGACUAGCUUGCUAAGAGUGGAAAAGUUGAUAACUUAGUGGCGGACGGGUGAGUAACGCGUGGGUAACCUGCCUUACACAGGGGGAUAACACUUAGAAAUAGGUGCUAAUACCGCAUAAGCGCACAGUCCCGCAUGGGACAGAGUGAAAAACAUUAGUGGUGUAAGAUGGACCCGCGUCUGAUUAGCUGGUUGGCGGGGUAACGGCCCACCAAGGCGACGAUCAGUAGCCGGCCUGAGAGGGUGGACGGCCACAUUGGGACUGAGACACGGCCCAAACUCCUACGGGAGGCAGCAGUGGGGGAUAUUGGACAAUGGGGGAAACCCUGAUCCAGCGACGCCGCGUGAGUGAAGAAGUAUUUCGGUAUGUAAAGCUCUAUCAGCAGGGAAGAAAGAAAUGACGGUACCUGAGUAAGAAGCCCCGGCUAACUACGUGCCAGCAGCCGCGGUAAUACGUAGGGGGCAAGCGUUAUCCGGAAUUACUGGGUGUAAAGGGAGCGUAGACGGUAAUGCAAGUCUGGAGUGAAAGGCGGGGGCCCAACCCCCGGACUGCUCUGGAAACUGUGUAACUGGAGUGCAGGAGAGGCAGGCGGAAUUCCUAGUGUAGCGGUGAAAUGCGUAGAUAUUAGGAGGAACACCAGUGGCGAAGGCGGCCUGCUGGACUGUAACUGACGUUGAGGCUCGAAAGCGUGGGGAGCAAACAGGAUUAGAUACCCUGGUAGUCCACGCCGUAAACGAUGAUUACUAGGUGUGGGUGGGUAUGGACCCAUCGG